rnacentral:rRNA from 1 species
UACGUAGGGUGCGAGCGUUAAUCGGAAUUACUGGGCGUAAAGCGUGCGCAGGCGGUUUUGUAAGCCAGAUGUGAAAUCCCCGGGCUUAACCUGGGAAUGGCAUUUGGGACUGCAAGGCUGGAGUUUGGCAGAGGAGACUGGAAUUCCCGGUGUAGCAGUGAAAUGCGUAGAGAUGUGGAGGAACACCGAUGGCGAAGGCAGCCUCCUGGGCCAACACUGACGCUCAUGCACGAAAGCGUGGGGAGCAAACAGG